UAUUAAAGGACUUGGGAGGCGAUUCUUUCUCUGUUUUCUGGAAAAUGCAGCUGAAACUUUAAAAAAAUUGACUGGAAGCAGCUACGACGAGAAAUUCCUGUUCAACUAGUCGGUCCAGAAGCGGAAGUUUUGGAAGUGUGGCAGAACAAAAUUGAGAACGUUUUUCAGAUCCAGCUCUCGCAAACCACUUUUCGGACUUAUUAAAAGGAGUAAGGAAGCAACAGGAAAUAAACCUGCUUAAAUCUUUGGAAAGCCACUCUGAAGAGAUACAAUCAACUCUAAUUUGGCUUGCAAUUCAUUGAGUGUUGGUGCCGACAGCAAGAACAAAAAAGGACGCCGGGAGCAAGAACGCGAAGCACACCAUUGCGGACUCGGGAAGCCGUUUCUUUUAAACUUAUUUAUUAUUUAUUAUUUUUAAACCCGAUAUAAUCAAUUUAGCAAUAAGAAAGGGAGAAUAUGUAAAUUUGUAUAACUAUAAAUUGUGUAAAUAUAUUUGUA